rnacentral:lncRNA from 1 species
CUCCCACUCCGCCAGCCUCUGGGAGAGGAGCCGCGCCCGGCCGGCCCGGCCCCCAGCCCCAUGGACCUCCGAGCAGGGGAAGACACCCAGUCCCUCAGCCAGGAGGAAACAGAGCUGGAGCUGCUGAGGCAGUUUGACCUGGCCUGGCAGUAUGGGCCUUGUACAGGUAUCACAAGGCUGCAGCGCUGGAGUCGGGCAGAGCAGAUGGGCUUGAAGCCCCCCCUAGAGGUGUACCAAGUGUUGAAGGCACACCCUGAAGACCCUCACUUCCAAUGCAGCCUGUGGCAUCUCUACCCACUCUGAGGUACCCCCACGUUGUCCUUCUCUGGGCACCUCCUAGCCACCAAGAACUUCAGGACAGACAUCAUGGCCUGCUCUGCUCAUUCCAACCUUGGAGAAACAGCAGGCUGACUGUGGAGGUCUUCCUGGUUCAGCUUCUUCUCCAUCUAAACAGCAGGCUGCUGAAGCUCCUGGGACCUGUGAAGCUGAGCACCUCCACGCCCUAAUCAUGACCACCAGAUGCCCACCCGCCACACCCCUGACCUACGGUGUGGCAAAUCCAGCACAGGCUGGCAUAAACCAGAUGUCGGCAGAUAACCUAAAGGGCCCACCUUGGGCAUCUAGCUGAGGGCACAGAUGAGUGAGUUAUUGGAUCAAGGAGCUCACUAAUGCUUACAAUAAAGUACAUUAAGCCUGA